rnacentral:lncRNA from 1 species
GGCGCUCAUCUCUUUCGCCGGUUGGCGCCGCGGAGUUUUCUAUUACCCGACGCGACCGCGCGCACUAGCGGCCGGCCACCGGCUAGUCCCUCCAGCCUGCAGCGCGCUCGCUUCCUUGGAUCGCUCGCUAGCUGCGGCUCACGCCUCCGUCCCUCCUAUUUCUUUGCUCGGGUCGGUCGGUUGGCCCAGGGGCUGAUCUGUGCUCGCGAAGGCAUUGACUUUGCCUCCCCCGGGGAGCGCGUGGCGAUGGACGCGGCGGGCAUGGCAGCUGGCGCGCCCAUACUGCCGCCGGACGCGUCCCCGCCGCCGGUGGCCGGGCAGGGCGCGGCGUUCCCGAUCGCCAUCGUCAUCGCCAUCGGGUUCAUGGUCACCUCGCUCAUCCUCAUCAGCUACUACUUCCUCGUCGUCCGCUGCUGGCUCCGCGGCGGCGGGCCGGGGUCCGGGCUGCUCCACCGCGCCCGCCGCGAGGACCUCGUGGAGCGGGUGUCCGCGGUCUUCUUCACCGACCUUGAGGCCGCCGAGCUGCCCGGCGGGCUCGACCCGGACGUCGUCGCCGCGCUCCCCGUCGUCAAGUACCGCCGGACACGGGCCGCGUCGGCGGCGCUCGAGUGCGCCGUCUGCCUCGCUGAGUUCGCGCCCGAGGAGCGGCUCAAGCAGCUGCCCAGCUGCUCCCACGCGUUCCACAUAGACUGCAUCGACACCUGGCUCCACCACAACGUCAGCUGCCCGCUCUGCCGCACCGUCGUCACCGGCGGCGUCGCGCUCCCGCUCGCCCGCGACGACCACGAGGGGUCCUGGCGGGAGCUGCAGGUCGGCGACAGGCAUAUCGGCCCAGCGGCGAGGAUGGGGUACGGGAGCUCCUGCAGGUUCCCGACCAAGAGCGGCGCCGCGCAGGAGCCCAUCACGCGAUCCUUCUCCAUGGACUGCUUCGCCGGUGGUCUUGGCCGGAAACCGCCGCAGAAGGACCCUGCA